rnacentral:rRNA from 1 species
UACGUAGGGUGCAAGCGUUAAUCGGAAUUACUGAGCGUAAAGCGUGCGCAGGCGGUUGUGCAAGACCGAUGUGAAAUCCCCGGGCUUAACCUGGGAAUGGCAUUGGUGACUGUACGGCUAGAGUGUGUCAGAGGGGGGUAGAAUUCCACGUGUAGCAGUGAAAUGCGUAGAGAUGUGGAGGAAUACCGAUGGCGAAGGCAGCCCCCUGGGAUAACACUGACGCUGAUGCGCGAAAGCCAGGGGAGCGAACGGG